UAUAUGGGAUAUACGACGUGUAUGUGACGGCCACUGCCCUAAACAUCAAAUUGACCGUGUGUUUCCACAUUCAAUGGGGCGCAGCAGAGGGAAGGAUUUUUCUCUCAGUAUCUGUGUGUCUCUCUACCUGCCAAGCUUCUUCCGCGCCUGUAUCCAUCAGUCCAUCUAUCUACGGUCCACCGAAGCAGCUAGGAACAAAGACCCAGGAGAAAUGAGAGUUCCUCCUUAGGAGAACAGGAGGAAAAGGCUAGAGAACUUGGUAACCCCCGUUCUCGCAUUCCCUUUAGGAGAAAAGAGGGUCCUUAAGAGCAUUUUGAGACUUCCCUUGUAGCUCAGUUGGUAAAG
ensembl:lncRNA